UCAUAUGCUUGUCUCAAAGAUUAAGCCAUGCAUGUCUAAGUACAUGCCUCAGUAAGGUGAAACCGCGAAUGGCUCAUUAAAUCAGUUAUGGUUCCUUAGAUCGUACCAUUUUACUUGGAUAACUGUGGUAAUUCUAGAGCUAAUACAUGCAGAUAGAGCUCCGACCUUCGGGGACGAGCGCUUUUAUUAGACCAAGGCCAAUCGGACUACGUCCGUCACCCAUGGCGACUCUGGAUAACUUUGGGCUGAUCGCACGGUCUCGCACCGGCGACGCAUCUUUCAAGUGUCUGCCUUAUCAACUGUCGAUGGUAGGUUAUGCGCCUACCAUGGUCGUAACGGGUAACGGGGAAUCAGGGUUCGAUUCCGGAGAGGGAGCCUGAGAAACGGCUACCACAUCCAAGGAAGGCAGCAGGCGCGCAAAUUACCCACUCCCGGCACGGGGAGGUAGUGACGAAAAAUAACAAUACGGGACUCUAACGAGGCCCCGUAAUUGGAAUGAGUACACUCUAAAUCCUUUAACGAUGAUCUAUUGGAGGGCAAGUCUGGUGCCAGCAGCCGCGGUAAUUCCAGCUCCAAUAGCGUAUAUUAAAGUUGCUGCGGUUAAAAAGCUCGUAGUUGGAUCUCAGUUCCAGACUGGUGGUCCACCGCCCGGCGUACUGCCAGGCCUGAACAUUUUACCGGUUUUCCCUCGGUGCUCUUCAUUGAGUGUCUUGGGUGACCGAUACGUUUACUUUGAAAAAAUUAGAGUGCUCAAAGCAGGCGUGACCUAAUAAUGGUGCAUGGAAUAAUGGAAUAGGACCUCGGUUCUAUUUGGUUGGUUUUCGGAACACGAGGUAAUGAUUAAGAGGGACAGACGGGGGCAUUCGUAUUGCGACGCUAGAGGUGAAAUUCUUGGACCGUCGCAAGACGAACUACUGCGAAAGCAUUUGCCAAGAAUGUUUUCAUUAAUCAAGAACGAAAGUUAGAGGUUCGAAGGCGAUCAGAUACCGCCCUAGUUCUAACCAUAAACGAUGCCAACCAGCGAUCCGCCUGAGUUCCACAAAUGACUCGGCGGGCAGCUUCCGGGAAACCAAAGUGUUUGGGUUCCGGGGGAAGUAUGGUUGCAAAGCUGAAACUUAAAGGAAUUGACGGAAGGGCACCACCAGGAGUGGAGCCUGCGGCUUAAUUUGACUCAACACGGGAAAACUUACCCGGCCCGGACACCGGAAGGAUUGACAGAUUAAGAGCUCUUUCUUGAUUCGGUGGGUGGUGGUGCAUGGCCGUUCUUAGUUGGUGGAGCGAUUUGUCUGGUUAAUUCCGAUAACGAACGAGACUCUAGCCUACUAAAUAGGCGACCGAUCUCAGUCGUCGGUCGAUCUUCUUAGAGGGACAAGCGGCGUUUAGCCGCACGAGACAGAGCAAUAACAGGUCUGUGAUGCCCUUAGAUGUCCGGGGCCGCACGCGCGCUACACUGAAGGAAUCAGCGUGUGUUUGCCCCUGUCCGGCAGGACUGGGUAACCCGAUGAACCUCCUUCGUGAUAGGGAUAGGGGCUUGUAAUUAUUCCCCUUGAACGAGGAAUUCCCAGUAAGCGCGAGUCAUAAGCUCGCGUUGAUUACGUCCCUGCCCUUUGUACACACCGCCCGUCGCUACUACCGAUUGAAUGAUUUAGUGAGGUCUUCGGACUGGCGGUGGGUGCGGCUCCCGGGGGCGCCCUCNCGNGUUAAAUNUGACCAAG
rnacentral:rRNA from 1 species